GUAAUUGUAAUAUCCUGAGAUUUUUUCGCUCAGCCAAAAAAUUCGUGCCAUUGAGCAAGUUUCACAGGGCUGCCGCUGACUCGCUGCAGGACACAUAAAAUCUGAUCAAGUUCAGAGACGCGCUGAGUGCUUCAAGCGGCGCUUUUUAACUCCAAGCCUUUCACAUCCUUUCCCCCUCAAUCUGUCCCAGGAAGGAGCUCACAUUCUUUAUUUUAGGGGAUCUGGGCUAAAAAAAAAAAAAAAAAAAAAGCGAGAGAAAAAAAGAGAGAAAAAAAAAUCAAAUCAGUCCUUCAUUCUGUUCUCGCCCUCAUCCUACCGCAUUCACUCCCAGAACAUUUCGUCGAGAAAGAGUUAUAGAUUGAAAAGGUCAAGCCAGUGGUUCUUGUGCUUCCCACCUUGGUUUCUUUUCAUCCACCCGUCUGUGCCCCCUCCCAUUUUAAAUUUUUUUUCCCCAGAUCCUCUUGUUCCUCUGCCUCAUCUAUAUCUAUCCCUGCAGCUCCUGCCCAUCUUCACCUUCCAUGACUUCUUCGUGAUGGCAUCAUAAUCUCUGCCAGAGUGGUCUCAUGUAUGCAUUGCAAGGCGGCUGCAUGAUCAAGCCUGUGAACUCUACAUCUGAAGGAAGGAUUCUGUUUCUGAUCAUAUCCCUAUUGAAGUCCAUCCAUUUGCCGAACAUGGAGGUGUUGACGCACUCGCGCUUGCACUCACCGGGACCAUGAAUAAUUCCAAGGAACCAAAGGAAGAGAGAGAAAAAAAGAUACAGCCAUCACUCAUAUCACGCAGCUGCAGUGUAAGUACCUUUUUUCUGCCUGUGUUUUAAAAUGGUGUAUAUUUCCUUGUAUUCAUCAACACAUUAGGAUAAUGUGCCAAACAGGUACAGUGUAAACAGCUUAGAAGUCUGUUGAUAAUAUAAAUUGUAACAUGUGAACAAGAGAUCAUUGCAAAAUGGCUGACUUGACUGCCUACACAUAUUUUUUUUACUGAUCUCUAAUAUAAAACAGCUUUUACUGUUGUUGCAUGUUGCAUGUAAAUCCAUACGUAUAAUAUCAUAACAACAUCAAUUUAUGUUUUUUCCAUUUUAGUUUAAUUUGGGGAUCCCAAGUAAGAAGAUAUUUUCCUUUUUUUUUUACUGUCUGCUAAGAAUUGUGAGACUGGGAGGUGGUGUGUGAGUGUGUCUGCGUACGUAAGUAUGUGUGUGUGCAUGUGUGCAUUAUGUGUGUGUUAAACGGGACCUAGGCCACAGCAGCGUGGAGGACUGAAGUCCCCGUGUAUUCUAGCUCAGAGAUCACAGAACUUAUGAAAGACUGCUCUUUGAUCAUUUCCAUUUCUAAAAUAAUUUGCUUUGAACAUUUCAAGUCACUUGUGCUUUUAUUUAUGGAGCCUGUAGACAAUCAAGGAGUUGAAAAUAAUUAGGCUCACGCGCACAUGAGUGUGGACACGUAUUCCCUUUCAAUCAGUUAAAACCAGCUCUGUUAAUUAAAGUUCUAAGCUGUGACUCUGCCCAAAUAAUUUUCUUGUAAGCUACUGCAUUCCUCAGAUCUGUUGUCAGUAGUGCAUAUUUUCUUUUGGUUGUUCCUUUCUAUUUUUUUUUCUUACAGAAAUCCCACUGACCCAUAUAGUUGAUCUCAUUCUUGAAGCAUAUAAUAUAGAUUCCAAGUUAAGAGAAUAGGGGCUCUAUUAUUAGUCCCAUUUGAGGUGCGCAGCCUCCAUCUAGGUACUGCUGUGUAUUUCUGAAUUCCCUGAGUGAAGGCAUUACCAUCUCAUUUGGGUGAGGGUGAGAUUACCUCAUGCAACCGAGCUGUUUUAUCACAGAAUAUCUAGGGGAGCUGAGCUGUAGCUGCUGACUGUUUAUUCAGGCAGCUGAAGGAAGAGACAUUCCAGACACAUUUCACGAAUAUCACACAUGACAACUUGUGAUGCCACCUUACUGAUGUUUCCCAUGAAAGGUCUCUCACUAACAACAACAUCCUAUUGAUCUUCAGCACCAUUUUAACAACCUCCUCUCACCCUCUCACACAUACACACCUGAGUGGGUAUGGAUUGAAAAUGUUAGCGGUUAGCGGCUAACUUUGCCAACACAUCCUUUGGUACAUCUGUCAAUUAAGCCCAGUCAUUGUAGGAGUGGCCCAAGAGCAGUCCUGGGCAGAGAGAGAGUGAUGAUAAUCAAAGGUGUAAACAACGGCUCAUUCCGUGGUGCAGAAUUAAUAUGCAGCACUUACGUUUUUGUCCUUAUUAAAAGGAUGAGAACUCAAAACAAGAAAUAAACUUCUUGGAUUAAAAUUCUGCUUUUAAUUGGAUAGAUGAAAGGAGCAAUUAGUUGCAGUUCAGUUAAGUUCUAAUUUUCCAAGUCAGCUCAUCUUAAUUUUUUUUUUUAAAAAGGGGGAAAUAGUAAUAAUGCAUUCAUUCACUUCUUUCAUAUUUAUUUCACAUUUUUAUACAAUGCCACUGCAAUUCAUUCAACAGUUCGGCUAUCAGAUAUCUUUAAUUUUUCUAUUACGUUUGAGAUCAUAGUUCAAAGUUUUUUUCACCAGACUAUAUUCUCUUACUGUGUUUUUUUUUAAACUUUUUUUUCUAUUAACACCUGUCUGGCCUUGUCAACAAAACAUAUUUGCCACAAACUUUAUAACAGUUUUUACUGAGUUGCUUUAAAUUUGAGUUAUAUUUCAUAAACUGCAUGCAUUUCCGUUUUUUUACAUGAAGGUAAUUUUUCUUGUUGUUACUGUAGUCCAUAUAAUCAUACUACAAAGGUCAGACCUACAGGUAGGAUUACUUUUUUACAUUUUAGUUUUUACCAACCCAGAUUCCAGGUCAUUAGGUACAUCUGGGGAAAAUUUGACCAUAAUUUUGACCAUUUGACUGCGUUCAAAAUUAUAACAGUAUAGUAAUAUUUUUGCAAACAUUUCAGCAGGUAUGAGAACAUUUUUAAUUAACAUAUAUUGCAUUCAGUGAUUACUUCUCUCAUGAGAGCCAGUAGGAGGAGUUUAAGUUACAAGCAAAUUCACUGCACUCUGCCACUCACAGUUUAUUUCAUAUUCAUGCUUGUGAGGGCUAAAUAGAGGGAUGUCAAGAAUCAGAAUUGGAACUAUAACUGUAUUUAUUGUCAUAGUAAGAACAUACAAAUCAAUGUUGCUCUUUGGUGCCGGCAUAAAACACAAGACGUUAACUAAAACAUAUUGCAACAGAACGUGGAAUUAAUAAUAAUAUAAAAAUUGUUAACACCGUAACUUCACGGUCAACGUGGAUGCUCUGAUUUAUGGUGCUACUGUUGCUUUAUACUGAGUUGUUUUUCAAAUUUUUUAUGUAUUGAAAUGUGAUGAGCAAAAUACACUUUUCAGUGUAAUGCAGUACAGCUCAAAUGCACAUAAGACUACAGCCUGCUAAGCUGCCAUUAAUACUCAUGCCGUUUAAAAAAAAAUUAAAAUAACAUUAGCAUCAAAACACUGAAUUAUAUCCUUGCUGCCAGUAGAUUUAAAUUCAAGGCCAUUGUAUUAGACUACAAUAUAGUUAGGUAGUUAAUAGUAUAGUAUUUUAUCCCAGUGUAAACAAUAAACUCCUAAAUAAGUAGGCCAAUAUUGUUUGAGUUUAUUUUGCUUCUCUGAAAUAUUACAAAAAAACCCAGACUACAGGUUAAUGAGAAGUUCUAAUUUCUCAAAGAUCAUAGGAGAGAUAAACACCCACCGCUUUUUAGUUCCUCUCUGUUUAUUUCUUCUUCGCUGGCUCUACAUUUGUAGGCAUGAGAAGCUCUUUUUGUAGAUAUACAAUUUCAACCCAGUGAUACUGGUGCUGUUGUAACGUUAAAGGAUAUGUUUCUUGUUGUGGAAAAUGGGUGAGAUGACUGGUAGUGUCGUUCCGUUAUUGCACCGACCUUACUCAUCAAUCAGAAAUCAAAGCUUUGACAGUUGCCAACAUUAAAGGGUUGCUUCUGGCACGUCUUGUGCCAAGAGGCUUCUUUAUGCUGAGCAUAUUAAUAUACUGUAGGUCAUGAGCAGGCUCAUCUGCUGAUCAUGUAUGAGAAGAUGGAUACUCUCGAGCCACACCAGGCACAGUUCCAGCCAAUAUUCUUGCUGGAAUCUGAACUCAUCCACUACAAGUGCACUAGCUGGCUACUGAAAUGAGUGAAGUAUUAUGACACAGUUUUUUUAAUCAACCAGGAAUUUAAAGUAGAGCUCAUGAAAAGUAAAAAGCAAACCUGAGUUUAACUGAAAGAUCCAUCGCUGCAAAAAAUUAAAUACAAUUCCUUCAUCCUGGUUCCACAUCUGUUUGUAGAAAAAAAAAGUGAUAAGACAGUACAAGCUGUUCUUAUUGUUAGUUGCAUGUUGAGUACAGGCCAUAAGCUCAUAUUGUUAUUACAGGCUACUUUCAGGUUUUGAUUUCAGACAUUAAAAAAUAAUAAUUAAAAUGUAAACGCUUCGAGUUUCAGACCUUGUCACAAAAUAACCUUUCAUUCUUAGUCCAUGUAUCCACAUUUAGGUAUUUUGUCGCUAUGUUUUUUUUCCACGCGGUUUGGAAUUUUGACUUGGGCAAGCUUUCUGUUUAUCUGCACACGCAACAGAACUUGAACCGACUCUUUUUAGCAUUAAAAUAGUGUCUUAAAAUCUCAAGGAAGUCAGAGUUAACAGCGAAGCUAACAGCUGUAACUCUUUGAUUUGCUGCUUCAGCCACACAUUUAUAAUCAUUAAGGCAAAUAUAGUUGUGCCCAACUUUGCUUAAUUAUUACCUGUAAUUAAUUCUUGCUGACUCUCAAGUAACUACUCAUCAUUUUUAAUUUUAGUCCAGUUUGGAGUAAGUUUAGACAUUAGAUCUAAAAAUGUUGAACUCUUAGAUUUUAGCAGAUAAUUUGGCCUGUUUUGAGAUUUAAAGUGUGUAUUAUUAGAAUUUAUAUUGACACAUUAUUACUUCUACAAUGAGCCUGUCUGUCUCUAGGCAAACAGAAAAAGCAAAGCCCAUUCAUCCUUCUGAAACCGCGUGCACAACUUCUACCGCUGACUGCUGCUUCACAAAAUCACCAGCGACGAGUGCUGUUUUGCAAGGGGCGGUGUCUCUCAAAAUUGAGAUGGAUGGUUUACAAAAAAAUAUGUGAAACAUAACAUGCAUGUUUCAUGAUGUCAGUGACAAGACAUUCUGAGUUGGCACCAUGUCUCCUGCAAUGUAGUUUGUGCCUGUACCAGAGUAUCUUAAUUCCUGUGCAGAGACUGUGAUUUAGUCUUUUUUGUGUGUACCGGGACAUGUUUAUGGGCUAAUAGGCCUUUGUUAGUAGUACUCUAUUUAUUUAAUACAAUUGUAGUGUGAACAGAAGGAAUAAUAAACAGGCUGACUAAACAUACGAUUCUUCUUUUGGGCUGAGAAAACCCUGUGUAAGGACACAAAAGGGGGACGUUUCCACAGCGGAAAGUAAAUUCUUUUGAAGUGGAACUAAUCAUCUGAGGGAUGGUUUUCGUUGUCCUAACAACGCAGCUGAAUUGGAAUGAGCCUUCUUUUUUGUGGAAGAUAUGUUUUCUUUUUUUCAUUCAGAACUGAUGAUGAUAGCAGUUUCACGCCCUGUCCACCCACAUUGUCCGUCCAAACUUCUUUGCAGAUAAGUCUUUACUUGGAGACGCCGAACACACGGCGGGUGACUCUUGGACUGUGACGUCAGCCUCACUCCUGUGUCUCCCGGUCUUUCUCUUUUUUAAAUACCAUUAGAAUGAAAGGGGAAUCUCACAGCAAAUCCUUGCCAAUAACAAUUCUUUCAUAGUGCGAAUGGAUCAAGACUCAAAACUACCCCAUGUAUAUUAUGAUAUGGAUAAUAUUAUGCAUUCUCUUUAGGUUAAGGUUAUUUAAGUCAGGUUUUAUCAAAAUAAACAUGUAUAUUUUAUAGAAAUUUAAAAAUAUGAAGUUAAAAAAAUUAAUUAAAGUUACAUUUCCUUCUUAUUUUUUUUUCUCGUUUUGCAGUGUUGAAGGCUCUUUUCAAGAUGAGAAAAAAUAGUUCAGGCAUCUUGUUGAAGUUUUGUGUGUGAACAUCUUGAAUGCUGUCAUAAAAGCUACAAUUAAAGAUCUUUACUCAGA